rnacentral:rRNA from 1 species
UCGAUUUUGGAGGGCAAGUCUGGUGCCAGCAGCCGCGGUAAUUCCAGCUCCAAUAGCGUAUAUUAAAGUUGUUGCAGUUAAAAAGCUCGUAGUUGAAUUUCGGGGUUAGUAGGUUGGUCAUGCCUCUGGUAUGUACUGGUCUCACUGAUUCCUCCUUCCUUAUGAACCGUAAUGGCAUUAAUUUGGUGUUGCGGGGAAUUUGGACUGUUACUUUGAAAAAAUUAGAGUGUUUAAAGCAAGCUAACGCUUGAAUACAUUAGCAUGGAAUAAUGAAAUAGGACGUUCGAUCUUAUUUUGUUGGUUUCUAGGAUUGACGUAAUGAUUAAUAGGGAUAGUUGGGGGCAUUAGUAUUCAAUUGUCAGAGGUGAAAUUCUUGGAUUUAUUGAAGACUAACUACUGCGAAAGSAUUUGCCAAGGAUGUUUUCAUUAAUCAAGAACGAAAGUUAGGGGAUCGAAGACGAUCAGAUACCGUCGUAGUCUUAACCAUAAACUAUGCCGACUAGGGAUCGGAUGAUGUUAAUUUUUUAAUGACUCAUUCGGCGCCUUACGGGAAACA